AGAAACCCACUGAUGUUUUCAAUGACAUCACUACAAGCAUUUUGUCUUUCUUCAAUGGAGGCUGAAGCAGUGGCUAGUUGCAGAGAAUGAGAUCGAAAGGAGCUGAGAUAGCAAGGAGAUAUCGGGAACGUCGUGAUGCUGACCCAGACAGAAAAAGAAAGUACCUUGAGAAAGAAAGGGACAAAUGGAAAAAAGACAGAGAGACUGGAAAGAAGAAAGGUGUCAAUGAGCUCAGUGAGAGAGAAAAGAGGGCAAAAAGAAAGAAAUGAAGAGAGGCAAAAAGUCAAGCCAGA